CUGGCCAUGAUGUUCAUGUCUUAGAACUUCGCCAGUCUGCAACUAUUUCCUUCCCUUACAUGUUACGUGCACAAUGCCCCCAUGAGGAAAAGGCGUAUGACUCUUGCUAGAGGUUGAUCUGUCUGAACUGCUGAAUCUUGAUGACUUGCAAUCAACAGACUGUAGAACAAUAAGGUCAGCAGUGUAAAGAUGUGGAUUUUUUUCUGCCUCUAAAUGCAGGCUGCUCUUCUGGGCCAGUGAGGACUGCUCCAGUGAGAAGAAACAGGAAAGGCUGCGAGUCGUGGGCAUCCCACUGCUUCUGCUGUUCUGAUUCCUGGGGAAGUAGGAGAAGAAGGGCUCCAACAGCCUCACAGGGGCCCAGCACUGGAAGCAGGAGCUCGGAAUUGCCCACUGCAGCCUCCUUUCUACAGUACUGCCAUGGCCUGUGCAAGGUGUUCAGGGGAUCCUUGCAGGUAACGGGCUGAGCUGAGGGGUGCCAGCUGCUCCUUACAAGUACAAGCAGUACAAGGGUCACAAGGAAGGUCUGUAAGAAGCUAAUAUUAGUGUUUAUCAAUAAUCAUAAGUUCCUCUGUUCUGAUAUUAUGCUAGAUCAGAGUGUUACUCUAAUGAAAGCCAUAGAAGACAUAAACACACUCAAGCUUGCUUAGCUAGGAAAUCAAAAGAUAAUGGAUAUUUACAGCCAAUAUCAAAACCAUAACCAAUUCGGCAGAGGAGCAUUUUAUAUGACCAGUGAUUUAGAAGGCUCAUACAGGUAAGCUACAGCAGCAAUCCAGUCGAGGCACUGUGCCCAGAGCUCCCAGGUGGUGCCACUGCCCAUCAGCCCCUGGAGCUGACCUGGUUGUUGUGCUGGGCCUUGUUACACAGCUCUCCUCAUAAACCAUGUGGGGAAUUCUAAUAAUUAUACCUGUAUAAGUAGGAGGAUAACUGAAACAUAUGUUACCAGGUUCUAGAAAUGCUCUGAACAGCUACCAAAGUUUUCUGCACUUGUACAGUCAACAAAAUACACUUGGAAAGAGUACCGUAGUGAUAUAGCAAAGGAGCAAACAGGGAAGGAAUGCUCACCUGUAUCCAAAAAUUUAGGCUUGCAACGAAAAGCUCCGCAGAGGAGGGAUUUCCAGAAAGAGAUCCUUUGCUAGUGUUAGUCAGCCCUUAAAUGGGCUUUUAGAGAGAUGCAGCCAGGUUCCACUCCUUCAGGUCACACAGCUGAAUUGCCUUCACCUGUGUUCCUAAAGCUGGCCCAGUCCUUGCUUCAGGUGAUCAGUCAGUGAAUCAGGCCUUGAUUCAACAAUUCCAAUACAUUACUUUAUCCGAACUGAACAACUGUGCUGUGCCAUUGGAGUAACAUGACAAGUUGUACACAUUGAGAGAUGACUGCAUCAACUGCAGUGGGGUGCAGCUUCCAGCCCUGACUCAUGAAAGUCAAGGAUCCUUCUCACAGGAGUGUUUUUAGGUGGUGGAGUGUGAUUGUGAAAUUUAGAGCUAGGCCUUUUCUUAGGUACGAUGGAGUUUGGUAGGUUGGUUGAAGCAGUUUUGUAGGUUGGUUUUGAAAUCAUACUUUUACUUUGCUGAUUAGGUGGUAUUCAUGGCCAGCAACUUGAACUAGGCAGUGUUAGAAGUGUGUUGUGUCAGUGCUGGGUCAGAGGACAAGGGAUGUCAGUGUCUGAACCACAGCUAUAAUGCUGUACCUGGCCUUGGUUAUGUUGCUGAAGCUUUGUGGGAUGCAGUUCUUCUGUAGAAAAUGGAAAUGAGUGUUAUUUGCCUACCAAUAAAGAGUGCUACAACAGGCUGUUAGCUCCACUGGAUUGCCUGUAUGAAGGUGUAUAGAACUGCUCAGAAAGCUCCAUUAGCUAGCUGGGAUUUGGGCUCACAUUUUUUCAGCUCUGCUAACUAAAUCCCAGUGUAAUAAUUGAAAUAGAUUUUUUGUCUGGUUCUUCUUUUAUUUUGCAUGUCAUUGGAAAGGACCUUCUGAUCUAUGCACCAAGCUUAGCAGCAGUGCAGUCAGGAAAGGAACUGAACUUUAGGGCUCCUGUCAGUUUGGAUUGGAAAUAAUUAUGCAAAGGAUUGUGAGAUUUUGCUGUCUUCAAAUGAGAAAUGCACUUGAGCUUCAGUUUAUCCUGGAAUGCAACUUCAUUUCAAAUCUUUGCUUCACAUACUAUAAUUUUGACUUUUCCUUAUAAAAAAAUCAGGUGGAAAUGAUUAGAAAUAGGAAGAAAACACUUAAUUUGCAGAAAAAUGCCUCAAUGGUAGUGAAAUGACAGUGCCUGACACACUGCCUCAUGGUGUUCAUUCUUGCUCAGCUACAGUGAAGGCAGAAAAGGCAUAAAUUACUCAGUGAGCAAAUGCCUUGUUUUCUCUGUAACUCCACCUCUUUUGGGCAUCCUGCCCUGUCCCCACCCCUUGCACUUGUCUGCAUGUCUUAAUGGCAGUAUUCAUGCAGCUGGUAAUUUAUGUGUCUGAGAGAGAAGAUUUACACAGAGCCUUCCCUUCAGUUAUUUAGAAAAUGUGAGCUACAACAUGUGAUUUGUUAGGUCCCAAAUUCUAACUUAAAAGUCAUGAACAUCUUAAUGGCUGGGCUUGAGCAAGAGAAGUUUUAUAUGCAAUUACUUGAGCUAGGAGCUAGUUCUGAGGUCCUCACUUUACACCUAGUUACAAAAGUUUGUCUUCAAAAUAAAUACAAUGCCUAUUGUAACAUAAGCACACAGUAAUUUGGCUUGGCUGAAGCAGUUCAGUGCGCUGCUCUAGAAGGCAGACGGAGCUGAUCCAGUUACGGAGACCUACUUGAUUCAGUCGGUGUCUUGUGUCAUAAACACGAAUUGUUAAUUUCAUAUUACUCAUAACAGGCGCACUGUGAAUGUUUGCAGCGUUUAUGGGAUAUCAGUUACAAAUGUGAUUAUACCAGCCAUUCCUCAGGACUGACACCAGUUUCAAAUUAGAAGCUGACAGGCCUCACCUGCUCCUGAGUUCACUGACAGGUCACCUUCUUGUCAUUUUGGCUGUCCCCCCCUCACAAUGACAUCUGUGUUCAUAAAGGGACAACGAGGGACUCUAAGUUGUUAGAAUUGUUGAAGAAUAAGAAUAAGGUGUCAUCUACUCCAAUAACGUAGUACUCAACUUUGGCCUUUCAGAUGGCGUGAUGCUUGUAGCACCUGACAAUGUUUCCAGAUACAAGAAUAGCUGGAUCGGAGGGGCAGCAGUUGUUCCCUCUUCUAUGCACGGAUGCUAGGCAUUCAGCUCAGUGCUAGCACACAGAGGAUGGACAAUCUCAGAGUAUUCCGCAAAGAGUUUCAAAAUACCUUUACUUUUUGCAUAAAGGAAUAGCACAU